UAGGGAAUCUUCGGCAAUGGACGGAAGUCUGACCGAGCAACGCCGCGUGAGUGAAGAAGGUUUUCGGAUCGUAAAGCUCUGUUGUAAGAGAAGAACGAGUGUGAGAGUGGAAAGUUCACACUGUGACGGUAUCUUACCAGAAAGGGACGGCUAACUACGUGCCAGCAGCCGCGGUAAUACGUAGGUCCCGAGCGUUGUCCGGAUUUAUUGGGCGUAAAGCGAGCGCAGGCGGUUAGAUAAGUCUGAAGUUAAAGGCUGUGGCUUAACCAUAGUACGCUUUGGAAACUGUUUAACUUGAGUGCAAGAGGGGAGAGUGGAAUUCCAUGUGUAGCGGUGAAAUGCGUAGAUAUAUGGAGGAGCACCGGUGGCGAAAGCGGCUCUCUGGCUUGUAACUGACGCUGAGGCUCGAAAGCGUGGGGAGCAAACAGGAUUAGAUACCCUGGUAGUCCACGCCGUAAACGAUGAGUGCUAGGUGUUAGACCCUUUCCGGGGUUUAGUGCCGUAGCUAACGCAUUAAGCACUCCGCCUGGGGAGUACGACCGCAAGGUUG
rnacentral:rRNA from 1 species